ACCAGCCAGGGUGCUAUCCCUGUUUUUGUCACGAUGAGUUCAUCGGGAAGGGAUGUAAACAAGUGCAAGAGGGGUCCGCUGGUGUUAGAAAGGGGGAAUAGUAGUCGCCCACUAGUUACCAAAAGGGCGCAAUCUGCAAGGGUAUCCCGUCCAUCACAACCUGGGAAUGCGCUAAAGCCUCCUAUUGUCGAUCUAUCUCAUGUAUCCACUGACAACCAGGAGGUCCAAUUAGCGACAUCCAAGGGGGCAGUCGCGCUGGUCAAAGAGUCAGGGGAAUUACCGCUUUCGAUUCCUCCUACCACGGGGGCCAUCAUCCAAUUCUCGAGUGGGCGAAUAAAGAAGAUGGUUCCUCCGCACUCGACAUGAAACCAAUGGAGACUGUAUGUGGGCGGACUGUCAGUGAAGUCUUAGUGAGCUCUUCGGAACAGUUGGCGGGGAGCCCGAUCGGCUCCCACGAUGGGGAAGGUUCGGUGUGUAUGUGAACCUGUGCCUAGAACCCUUGUAUUUGUUGUAUGGCAUGAGGACUAACUAUGGGGUUGUCUUUAAUACUAAAGCGAGUAGAUUGCAGUGAGGCUCGACCCAAUGAAGAUGGUUGUCGGGGGCGAUGAGAUGGAUCACAGCUGCUCAUUUACCGAGCAAGUCGACAGUGAUGCAACCUCCUAGGGCGGAAUCCACGGGUGGUAUAUAGAGUGGUGGUGGCGAUGAGGGUGUCUGUGAUGUGGCGGCAUCGGCGACGCCUCAGGUUGGGCAAACGAUGGUGAGCUCGGGUUUUGCGAGCUCCUGGGAAUGUUGAGGGAAGGGAGACGACGGCCGACAGUGACAAUGUUUCUCCUCGACCUGAGGUUGUCGGUGAUUUGGAGCAUCAUUCUAGGAACGAAGAGGCGAAUCCAGAAUUUAUUCUUCCUUGGGAAGAAUUAUCGAAUGAAGAAGAGCUGCUCCGGAUACAACAGCAAUUGUUGGGGGUACUACGACUAAUAUGGUGGCGACUUUAAUGAACUAUCGUGGUCCUGGAUGGAAGCCUGCUGGGCUUUUGCAUCAAUGGGCUUCCGUCCGUAUAGGUCGGAUCGAAAGACGUAUUGGUAGUGUUGGCAUAUGCGUUUUGGAAAGCCAGCUGGGAUAUUCCUCAGGUAGACCACCUAUUCCGUUCCAUGAAGGACAUCCGAGACCAUCGCAAGGUUGGUUUUCAAGGCCAGCGUGAAAAGGGUUAUAGAGAAGCUCCAGGUAUUGGCUAACAGAGUUGUCUUGAUAUUAAACAUCGUCUAGUGUGUGUAGAGCAAUGAUGGGUGGUGGGGCAGGGGCAUCAACACUCGUAUUUGUA